rnacentral:rRNA from 1 species
UACGUAGGGGGCAAGCGUUGUCCGGAAUCAUUGGGCGUAAAGAGCGUGUAGGCGGCCCGAUAAGUCCGCUGUGAAAGUCGAGGGCUCAACCCUUGAAUGCCGGUUGAUACUGUCGGGCUAGAGUCCGGAAGAGGCGAGUGGAAUUCCCGGUGUAGCGGUGAAAUGCGCAGAUAUCGGGAGGAACACCAAUGGCGAAGGCAGCUCGCUGGGACGGUACUGACGCUGAGACGCGAAAGCGUGGGGAGCAAACAGG